rnacentral:rRNA from 1 species
AGUCAUUGUAGUAAUACAAGGCAGACAGCUCAGUAACGCGUAGUCAACCUAACUUAUGGACGGAAAUAACCUCGGGAAACUGAGGAUAAUGUCCGAUAGAUCAUUAUGCCUGGAAUGGUUUAUGGUCGAAACGAAUAUCGCCGUAGGAUGGGACUGCGAGCUAUCAGCUUGUUGGUGAGGUAAUGGCCCACCAAGGCAAUUACAGCUACGGGCUCUGAGAGGAGUAGCCCGGAGAUGGGUAUUGAGACAAGGACCCAGGCCCUAUGGGGCGCAGCAGGCGAGAAAACUUUGCAAUGUGCGAAAGCCCGACAAGGUUAAUCUGAGUGGUUCCUGCUAAAGGAACCUUUUGUUAGUCCUAAAAACACUGAUGAAUAAGGGGUGGGCAAGUUCUGGUGUCAGCCGCCGCGGUAAAACCAGCACCUCAAGUGGUCAGGAUGAUUAUUGGGCCUAAAGCAUCCGUAGCCUGUUCUAUAAGUUUCCGGUUAAAUCCAUACGCUCAACGUAUGGGCUGCCGAAAAUACUGUAGAACUAGGGAGUGGGAGAGGUAGACGG